GGAGAGAUGGCCGAGCGGCUUAAGGCAACGGUUUGCUAAACCGUCAUAUGGGUUAUUCCGUAUCGGGGGUUCGAAUCCCCCUCUCUCCGCCA
rnacentral:tRNA from 1 species